rnacentral:rRNA from 1 species
UACAGAGGGGGCAAGCGUUAUUCGGAAUUAUUGGGCGUAAAGGGCGCGUAGGCGGCCUUCUAAGUCGGACGUGAAAUCCCUCGGCUCAACCGGGGAACUGCGUCCGAUACUGGAGGGCUCGAAUCCGGGAGAGGGAUGCGGAAUUCCAGGUGUAGCGGUGAAAUGCGUAGAUAUCUGGAGGAACACCGGUGGCGAAGGCGGCAUCCUGGACCGGUAUUGACGCUGAGGCGCGAAAGCCAGGGUAGCAAACGGG